CCUGAGAAACCCAAAAGAUCGAAUGGGGAGAUUCAGCGUCAGCUCAUUUUGUAUAUGUAUAAUUUAUGAUGCGGGUUACCUCAUGUAGUAUUGCCUGCACAUAUUUGUACAUUUGUUUGCAAAUUGUUGUCGGCGUGCACUUCUCCCCUAGUAGGACGUCGCGACCCGUUGGGUGUUGGGCUACGACUCAAGUGGUAGCCUUUGAUGUUUAACGACAUUCAAAGACCCCUGAUGUAUUCUGACCAGCUACCCGACGGUAUUCAUACGGUAUUUAGCCGCAUAUUAUAUGCGUCCAUGUCCGUCGCAAGCGAGGUUAGUUUCUGGUAGUACGGACCUAGUGCCGUCGCUGGAAUUAGCCAGCUGUUGGCUGUUACGGUAACCUAGGACUGGCUAAAAAUAUUACCGGUCGGCGAUGCUACUGNUUUGGGUACUUUCAGGACCCGUCUUGAAACACGGACCAAGGAGUCUAACAUGUACGCGAGUCAUUGGGAUUUUUUAAAAAUUAAACCUAAAGGCGUAAUGAAAGUAAAGGUCGUCCUUGCGUCGAUCGAGGGAGGAUAAGUUAUGUAUUAAAAUUAUUAUAUAGCUUCGCACUCCCGGGGCGUCUCAUUCUCAUUGCGAGAAGAGGCGCACCUAG
rnacentral:rRNA from 1 species